GAGGCUCCACUCUGUGGGCUGGCGAGAGAAUGCGCCUGUAUUUUGGACCCACAGAGGAGACAGAAUGAUUGGAAUGUCCUGCUCUAGUGCGGCUUCACUUGUCACGACACCUAAGAGGGUCCUGGCAUAGUCGGCCUCUGAUGAGAAUUGCCUAAUUCCUGAAGCUGCUGGUUAUCCACAGGCCAAGCGGGGACCCUGGCUGUGAACUGAUAGCAUGUCCAACAUGCAGAUCGCUUGUUAAAGGUUGUUGGCAUCAGACAUACACAGGUGUUUGUGUCGCAGUGAUAAUCUUCACUGAGGUACAUAUGAUCUUAUAGACAUACUGGCGACUCAGAACAGUGGUGUUUCUCUGUUGAACCAAGUAAGCUGGCAGGAGAGGUUCACUGAUCAAAGAAGCUUGUUAAUGCAAAGUCUGAAGAGUCCUGCCUUCCCUGGAGAUUCUGUCCGAAACCAGUUCUCAAGAAGCUGCGGGGCAGUGGACCGUACUUAGCAGAUGCAAGGUUAAAUAUAACCAAAGCAUCCCAACUUAACAAACACAUCAAAGAGUCAUAACAUUCCCCGAAGCUUGGCCACCGCGGUCCCUGCUGGGCACGCCUGUAGACCUGAGUACUGUUUGCACAUUCCCCCCCCGCCCCCCCACCCCCACCCCGCUCCCAACGGGGCCCGCCCCUGUGCCUUCUUCAAUGGCCUCAGUGCCGGUCCCGGAGGCCCAGAGCAGUCGCCAGGUGCGUUGGGACGCCCCGCCCUCUCCGGUUGGAGAGCGGGCAGACCGGUUCUACUCGUCUUGGUCGGAAGAAAGGAGACACCCCGGAGGCGGCGAGGCCCCGCGGGCUCCUCCCUCGCAUCCUUCCAGCCUCUCUCUGAACUUUUCUACCUGACACUGGAGACGCUCGCAGAGAGCAAGUCCCCCAGCCCAGCAGCCUGCCGAGCACCGUCUCCAGCGACGGGUGUGAAACUGUUCAACUCAAAACACAAACACCAGCCACUGACAUGUUUUUAAGAAACGCUCCAGUUGGAUGAGUGCGGGAACCAAAACAGACCAAAUGGGGAGGCAAGAAGGGAAAGCAAUUGGCCCAAUUCGGUUGGAGCAGCGGGCUCGUGUUACACUCCCUUUGCCAGUUAGCGACGUGGGCGUUUGUUGCUGUGUUAAUUACAGUUCUUCCCGGAGUCGGAGGCGAGAACAGCCCUCGUGGAAACGUUUCAAGUGGAACGUUCCACCAGGAAGCAAACAACUGCCUUCCUGCCCAGCUGGAAGGGAUUCCACCCGACGGCGAAGGGCGGGGCUGCGGGCGCGUCCUGCCCGGCUUUGCGCACGCGCCCCGCCGCGCUGGGCGCACCUGCCCGCGGGUAGCACCGCGCUCCCCACCGGCUCUGGGGGCGCUCAGGUGCCCUGGAGUCGAGACUGUGCGGCCGAGCGGCGGCUUCUUCCUCCACCGCCACUCCCCUUCCCCGGCGCCAGGGGGCUCGCGCUUUCAUUUUUUAUUUUUAUUUUUAUUUUUUCCCUUUUCUCCGGAGCUCCUGGGGAGUCGGUCCUGUUAUCUUCGCGGGGGUGGGAUGAGGAUGGGAACAGGUGGUGGCUCAGAAGGAAUCGGGGACAAGCCCGAGAUAGCGCGGCAGGGUGGAAAGUACAAGGCCUUCCAGAUACAGUGAGCUGGCUCCAGUCGCUGGCCUUCGUCACAUACGUGACCUUGGGCAAAGUUGUUUCACUUUUCUGAAAGGCUCCAGUGGCCUCGCGCGUAACUUCACGAGAGGCGGUGCUUGAAUAUGCUAUUGACUCUAUUGCCAGGACUUGUGUGAACGCAAACGUCACUAUAGCCUGUAAAGUACUCCGGGGCUGGGCGUGGACUUCACUUGUUAGACUGCUUUCCUAGCAAGCGUGAACCUUGGGCAUGAUCCUGGCACCACAUAAGGUCCCCAGAAAUCUCAGCGGGAGAUCAGGAAUUCAAGGCCACCCUUAUCUGCACAGAAGCCAGCAAAAGCAAACCACAAAACAAGCAAACCUUUUAAAAUUGUCAUUCCACACAUGAGAAAGCUAGGUGCUAGAACUACAUAUAAAUAGUAUAGAUAGAAUGAAAUAGCAGGAUGGUGGCUGUUCUUGUUUUCAUGACGUUGGGACCAUAAGCAACAGACACUAGCUCAGAGCAAUGUGCCCUCUAUUCAUGGGAGAAUGAAGGGGCAGAGAGGAAAGGGUCUUCUUGGCAAUUACCUACAUCCAGCAAAGGCAGCUGGAUAGCAAGAGGAAAUAGGCUGUGACUGCCAGCCCGCACAUAUUUAAAUACCCUAAAAAUUAGUUAGGCAAAGCCGCUAAGUCAUUAUUGGCUCAGCAAGGAGGGGCAUGGAGCUGAGAGUUGACACCUACUGUUCCAUAUCACUCACCACAAUACUGACCUGGCAGUUUCCCUCCAUUUUAGAAAAAUGCACCUCUUUUUCCCUACAGUGCUAUUUGGGCAUCUCACGAAUAAAAUUCUUGGAACCACCUCCAAAACUGCAAUCCAGAAACCACGGUGCUCACUACACACUGCCACUUAGGCACCCUCAGGGCCUGGCGCAGAUGUCUAAGAUAAUAUAUGGGAAGUGCUUUGCAAGGAAAGCACUAGUAAUGACAUUUUAAAAGGAUGCCAAACGUGCUCUGAGCGUCGAAGCUUCUCUGAAGAAAGUUUGUUAUUAACAUGUGACUCUCACUCAGAGUUUUAUGUUGUUCUUGGUAAAGUCAUUUUCAGAAUGGCUGUGGGGACAGGAUGGGAAGGGCACAGCCCAGGAAACAGGUUAUACUGGCCAUGGCCUGAUCUCCGCCUAGGCAGAACUGCUGGGGAGGUAGGGGCAGGGACUCAGGCUCCAAAGGGAACAGCUUGCUCUGUUUUCUCCGGGCAGGCAUGCCUGCUCUUGGGGUGGUUCACAUCUGGUUGGGGAUCUCUACCCUGAGUUAACUGCCUUCAGAAAAGAUCGCCACAAGUUUGGUGGCUUAAAAGAACCAAUUUAUCAUCGUGCGCUUCUGUAGGUUAGAAACCUGACACAAUCUGUCUUAUUAGGUGAGGUCGUAGGUCAAAUCCAUUUCUUAGACUUCCAGGGGCCUCCAGAGGCACCUUCCUCCCUCAGCAAUGACACCCCAAAGCCAUACAUUGUGUCAUCCUGAUAACUAUUUCUGCUUCCCUCAUCCUCUUUUAAGGAUGAUAUGAUCACAUUGGGCCCAUCCAGGUAGUUUAGGAUAAUUUCCCCUAUUUUAAACUGCCCUGAUUAGCAAACCGUGACUCGUUUGCAUCCCUAAUGCGUCUUUAGAAUUUAAUGUAUCACAAGCUCCUAAGGAUUAGGAUGUGGGUAUCUAUGGGGCCACACAUCCUGCUCAUCUCAAAGCCUUGACUAAUUCAGAAGCAUAUGCUCAGUGCUUCCUCUGUAAAGGAACUAUCAGGUAGGUCCUCUAGCUCUGUCACUCCCUAGUUAGGUUAAUUCAGGCAAAUUAUUUAACCCCUUUCACCUGCAGUGUCCAUAUCUGUCAAGUGAGGAUCAUGAUAGCACCAACCUGAUUGGGUUGCUGUUUUAAUUAAAUAAGAUAAUGCUGGGAAAAUAGCACCUGGCAUGUGAUGGGCACUCCCAAGUUUAGGGUUGUUAUUAUGGGUCAUGAGGCUUAUACAGCGUUGUCUGCCUCCACGGGGUUUGUGGAGUAACGCGGACUCACUCACAGCAUAUAGAAAUAAAUAGUGAAAACAUAAAAUGGCAUAUUACACUUGCUAACUGGCCUCGCACUGAUGAGAGAGGUGGAUUUAAGAUAUUCCCAACAGUCAGGAAAUGCCAGGAACGGGCGGGGCAGGUUGGUGACAGAAGUAGGAGCUAGGCUGGCUUUCCAGAGGUGAAGGAGGGAGGUUGGGCACGCUGCGCUUGCUAUGUCGACAAGGUGGCAGGAAAUGGGCUGGCUUCAGUCUCAUCUUGUGGGAUGGAGAGUUGGGAUAGGGCAUCCACUCAUUUCAUUCCUCGGGAUGUUUAGGAGAAGAGUGAAUGAUGAGACACGGGGCCCAACCCUAGAGCCUUAGCGUGCCAGGCUGUAGGGUCCAGACAGUUUUCUGUGGUAGUGGGGAGCCCUGGGAAGUUUAAGAGCAGAUGUAGGUUCAUAAGAGCGAUAUUUAGAAAGAUCAAACAAAGUAAAAAGUCAGCAGAAGACCUGUUGAGGAAUAUCUUCAGUGGUCCCUGUAAUAACAGUUGAAGGAGAUGUGAUGGCACUUGUCCUGAAAAGGGGGGAAUGGAUGCCCAAAACACAAGAAAUUAAGAGGAAGAGGCCUUGGUGAUAUUUUAGAUGAUGGGGGGAGGUUUGCAAAUUCCUGGAUGGUUGGUGACAGCAACGAUAGAAUAAGAGAUGGGUUCAGCUUGUAUUUUCCUGUUCGUGUGAGGUGUUGGCAGGUUAUCCAAGCGCAUGUGUCUAGAAGGCCACUGCGAAUGUGGAAGUGGAACAUGAGGGAGAGGUCAUGGCUGGAUAGUUAAGACUGAAAGCCGUCAGUAGGUAGGUCAUGGCUACAGUGCCUCACCACGAUUCCCAACUUUCUAUGUUUAAACCCACUUUAUUGUCUAAAACUGGUGGAUUCCUGAUAAAGUCCCUCCUCUUUUCAUUUCACAUUUUCUCCCCACUCCUUGUUCUGAGCUGAAAUUUCUCCUUCCCAACUGCUUAUGUUGAAAUCUUAUCCUCUACCUCCUUAUAAUAUGACUGUAUUUAGGAAUGGGGUCGCUAGCGAAGUAACUAAAGGUCAUGAUUUGUGUUCUUGUCAGAAGGGAUUAGGACAAAGACACACAGAGGGACAACCAUAUGAAGCUAAGACUGCAGGAUAAUGAGAAAAACACAGUCUGGUUUUUGAAGCCACUCUGUUUAUGGUACUUUGUUGUAGUUGGCUCUAACAAAUCAAUAUGCUUCUCUAGGGACCAGUGCCUUUAGGGUUCCCACUCAUGGGAGCUGAGCGCGCUCCAAAGUACUGAUUUGUUCCAAGACUUUGGUUUCACCAGGUCUGUUGCCUCCAGUGUCUAGAAUGUCCUGGGUUGUGUAUAAAGUUUUCAGAAAUAUUGUUGUUGAUGAAUGGAAGGAUAGUGAUGGCCUUUAUCUUGGGAGGCUGUGGUUGUCCACAGCUGGCCCGUGGGAUGGGGUGCUGGUCAAAGAAGCCUUUUGAAUAUGAGGCUUACGGCUGUUCGUUGACUGUCAUGCCACCUGUUCCUAAGGCUGGCACCAGCAAUGGAUUGCUCUCUGUGCUUUCUUCUGAAGCCGUGCUCAGGAACAGAGCGAAACCUGCCUCUUCCAAUUAGCAGGGCAGAAAACAGCGCUUUGUUGCACUUAACUUGUGUUUCUUCUCUCUGUGUUUAGUAACCACUAUGAAUCUUAUUUGGGUCUUGUUUUUCAAGAUACAAAAAUAAAGUAUCAGGAGAGGUGAAAGCGAAGUCAGCACUUAAAGUAGCCUGCAGAGGAAAACCAACUCAGUGACGAAUUCACAUAUCCACCGGUAAGAGUGGAAUAGAACGACCAGUGCUUAGAAAUCCUGUCAGCGCAGCUGGACAGUUUCCAAGCCUGCCUUGUGGACGUUGGUGACAGUGAGAUAUUCAGAUGAGGAUCGUGUCCUCAGUGACUUCUUUGUUCAGUAGAGCUGGCCUUUAUGAUGCAUUGAAGCAGUUAUUAUGAGAAAGACGCUGGUGAACUAUUCCCCAUCUUCCGGAGGACAGAAUGAGGGCCACAAAACAGAACAGUCCUUGGAAAGAGCUUGCUAGCAAAAGCCAUGUCUGGCUAGGUUGUUCUCUAACUCCCUCUUCUGGAAGGCUGUGGUACCUACCUGAGUUUUUCUCGGCUCCACUUGUGGAAUGACUGUUCUGGUGCCCAGUCCUAUCAAUAGACGGGGACUUCCCCGGGACACGUCUCAUCUGUCUUUGUCUCUGAUUCAGCUUCUAGCUGGCACCAGGUAUCCCUCAGGGGCUGAAGAGAGUAGCUGGCUAACCCUUUGUCCUUUAAAAAUGUUUUGGUGCUUCCCGGAGUCUCUGUCUCUCUGUCUCUCGGUCUCUCUGUCUCUCUCUCUCUCGUGUAUGUAUGUGUGUGUGAGAGGGAGAGAGAGAGACAGACAGACAGACAGAAACAGAAACUAAGAGAGAGAGAGAGAGAGAGAGAAAGAGAGAGACAUAUGGGGAGGGAGAGAGGGAGGAGAACUAUGAAUAAACUACUAUUGAAAAUGAUUAUGGCAGUUGUAUACAAAUUCUGUCUAUCUAUCUAUCUAUCUAUCUAUCUAUCUAUCUAUCUAUCUAUCUAUCUAUCUAU